AAAUUUUUUUUUUUUGAAGUUAUAGUUCAUUAUUCAAUGUUCACUAAAAAACUGAAAAUUGAGAAUAUUCUUAGUGUUUGCUUUUAUAGUUCACCAACUUAUGUAAUUUUAUAAUACUCCGAAGUGAAUCGUUGUUUAAUUUGUAAUUGUAAUUUUUACAUUAUAGAUUUAAAAAUCGAACACAGUUCCAAUAUUUGUAAAAAAAGAUCAUAAAACGAUUAAUUAUAUUUAGUUGAAUUUACGCAGUCGAAUUAAGAUGAAAAUGUUUUCACUCACUAUUGAAACAGUACUAAUUACUAUAUGUUCAAUAACAUGUCUUAAUUCAUCUACGAUUGUUGAAGUACAAUCCAUUUAUAAACCAACUAUAAAAGACUUGGAAGAAAUCCAAAAUCAUUUUUUAUGGAAUUACAUAAAAGAAGAACGGGUUAAAACGUCAUAUCAAAAGUUCGUUUCAAAACCUUAUGAUUUUUAUGUCGAGGAAACAAUCAGAACUCAAAUAGAGAGUCGAAUUAAUCGUAGUUAUUGGCGAGGUAUACAAUUUAUAAUUAAUCGAACAUAUAGAUACACUUUAUUGUUAGCUAUAUUUGCCUACGAAUCGCUAAACUAUGGAGUGGAACAGUCUUACCUUUUGGAAGGCAUCGAAAAAGCUGCUAGAAAAUUGUACAAAGCUGUAGAACAUUUAAGAUUUGAUAGAAUGGAAGAUUUAAGAGCGGAAAUUAUUGAUUUGACGACACUUGGCGGUAAUUUUAAGAAUGCUCUAAAUACAGUUACGUCAACGAUGAACAGAUAUAUUUUAUAUUUCAUUACUACUUUUGAUCUAGAAAAAAUCAAAAUGUUCAAACACUUUUCUUUGUAUUUAAAAAGUAAACCGAUAAUUCUACCACUGCAAGUAAGGGCGAGAUUACUAAGUGGAUUUCCCACUCAUCGUGGUUAUCAUAAAUAUGAUUUCCAUGUGCCUCCUGUAGGAGUCAUUGAAGCUGUUGCUAAAUUAAUGAAUAUUAUUCAGCUUAUUAAUAGUGAAUACUUAGUUGAAUAAGUGGUUUUGAUUAAAUUAUUAUUAAUUAAUUAAAUUAAUCUUUGAACUGUUUACCUUAAACUCGAUAAGAUCCUACGAUAUUAUAAGCAUGUGUAAAUUAUAAUAAUAAAAUAUCUAACUGUAUUGAUA